GACGGAGGAGGCAAGCGUUAUCCGGAAUUAUUGGGCGUAAAGCGUCCGUAGGUGGCCAUGCAAGUCUGCUGUCAAAGCAUGGAGCUUAACUCCAUAGAGGCAGUGGACACUGACUAGCUAGAGUUCGGUAGGGGUAGCGGGAAUUCCCAGUGUAGCGGUGAAAUGCGUAGAGAUUGGGAAGAACAUCGGUUGCGAAAGCGCGCUACUGGGCCGAAACUGACACUGAGGGACGAAAGCUAGGGGAGCGAAAGCG
rnacentral:rRNA from 1 species